rnacentral:rRNA from 1 species
GAUGAACGCUGGCGGCGUGCCUAAUACAUGCAAGUCGAGCGAACGGACGAGAAGCUUGCUUCUCUGAUGUUAGCGGCGGACGGGUGAGUAACACGUGGAUAACCUACCUAUAAGACUGGGAUAACUUCGGGAAACCGGAGCUAAUACCGGAUGAUAUUUUGAACCGCAUGGUUCAAAAGUGAAAGACGGUCUUGCUGUCACUUAUAGAUGGAUCCGCGCUGCAUUAGCUAGUUGGGAAGGUAACGGCUUACCAAGGCAACGAUGCAUAGCCGACCUGAGAGGGUGAUCGGCCACACUGGAACUGAGACACGGUCCAGACUCCUACGGGAGGCAGCAGUAGGGAAUCUUCCGCAAUGGUCGAAAGCCUGACGGAGCAACGCCGCGUGAGUGAUGAAGGUCUUCGGAUCGUAAAACUCUGUUAUGAGGGAAGAACAUAUGUGUAAGUAACUGUGCACAUCUUGACGGUACCUAAUCAGAAAGCCACGGCUAACUACGUG